rnacentral:rRNA from 1 species
UACGGAGGGAGCUAGCGUUGUUCGGAAUUACUGGGCGUAAAGCGCACGUAGGCGGCUUUGUAAGUUAGAGGUGAAAGCCCAGGGCUCAACCCUGGAAUUGCCUUUAAGACUGCAUUGCUAGAAUUGUGGAGAGGUAAGUGGAAUUCCGAGUGUAGAGGUGAAAUUCGUAGAUAUUCGGAAGAACACCAGUGGCGAAGGCGACUUACUGGACACAUAUUGACGCUGAGGUGCGAAAGCGUGGGGAGCAAACAGG